rfam:Ovis aries breed Texel chromosome 6, whole genome shotgun sequence.
UCCCUGGUGGUCCACUGGCUGGAACUCUGUGCUCCCAAUGCAGGGGGCCCGGGUUCAAUUCCUGGUCAGGGAA